GCCUUGGUCUGAUCUUUUGUAAUUUUACUUCUGGUCUUAGCAAUUUCUCCUCUUCUAACAGCUUCUUGUUUUCAGGGGACACCUAUACAGCCAGUGCUUGAGGAAGGAGUCCAUAUAGGACCCACAGAUUUCUUCACUGAAACCAGGUCACCCCAGACUCCAAGCUCCUCUGCCGACAGCGUGCGUGCGGAUGAGCUCCAGGCUGUCUUUGGGCCAGGGCUCCGUGUCCUCCACCAGCCUGAAGACACGGUGUCGCCGGUGCAGGCGUGGCUUCUGGUGCUCACCGGCCAGCGGCACCUUCCACCAGCACUCCACAGUGACUGAUGACCCUGCCCUAGCAGCCAAAGAGCAAGGCAGGGUGACCGUCACACUCCUCCCUCUCCAGUGACAGCCGGAGCCAGCAGCUCAUGAGGCUUUUGUCAUGAGGAUGUCUUGUGAACAUGACUAUGAUAAACAGAAACCACGAAUCUUGUGGGUGUUCAUUCGACGUGAAACCUGAACUCAGUUUGCCACCAAGAUGUGGCCAGUGGCCAGAGUGGGGAGCACAGGCAGAGAAGCCGUUUCCUUUGACCCAACAACAAAUAGGCGGGAGCACCUUCUUGCCAAGAGCCCUGGAGGAAAGCGUCUCUUGCCAGAAUUGCCUACUUGCCAGCCUUCCAAGCGUCUGUUUUUACCCUACUACCAAGACGGUGGAGAUGGGCGCCUUUGGGCAGGCACCCAGGGGCUCUGCAGGGCUGGGUCCCCUCCUCCACCUGCAUUCCAGGGUUUGGUUCCAACUUCGUAGUCUCCAUUAGCUCAGGUGCGGCUGUGGGGACCUGCCUCUGAGACGCCCCCACUGCUGUCCCGAGCCGGCCACGCCCUCACUCUCACCUAGAUUAUUCCCACCACCUAUUUCCUAAUGAGUGCACCUGCCUCUGCUUGUGAUUCGAUGUCAAGGGGAAUUUUAUUAUUGGCCCAAUUGUGUUGCAAAUAGUUCUGAACCAAUUUAUACUCAUUCCAGAGUGAAUGAAAAUUUUUAUUUCACUCAGCACUGGCUAUCUGCUAACAUCACAAAACCUUUUUUCUGUAUUUCAAUGUAUAGGUCUAUAUUUGAGGUUUCUAGUUUUUGAACACUCCCCAGGCAAUUCUAAGGUGGAAUCUGGGUGGAGAACAGCAGUAAACUGGACUAAAAGUUGGCCGAGUGCGGUGGUCCCUUUUCUCAGCUUCUGGAGAUCUAGUGCUCUAAGAAUGAAGGCCCAGGAAAAGAACCCCCAAAGUGGGCACUAAGGGAAAGAACCUCAAGAGAGUGGGCACUAAGGCGGUUUCUUCCUAAGGCCUAGGGCCAAGCUGGCCCAAGCCACCCUCCCUGGGCUCUCUGAGGUUGGGGCCCUUCUCUGGCUGUCAGGGUAGGAAGUAACCCAGAGAGCCAAGAGCACAUGGCCCCAAAGAGGGUGAACGAGGACAGGAAAGGAUCGGUCCUGCACCAUCAGGAGCUGGGAGUCUCUCCCCUAACUUGGAAGAGCCCACUUCCCAGCCCCAGUCCUGACUCACAGAAGCUUCUGGCUCUGCUGACCAUGCCUCAUCAAGCGUGCCUCCUCCAUACUCCAUCCCCAUAGCCGCAGCUUUUAAAACUGCUUUGUAAAUUACAAAAGAACUAUUGGGAAAUCAUAAACAAAAACUACAGAAACACAUCUGGUGAAAGUGAAAAGUGCCCUCUCAUCUUCCUACUUCCAUUCCCUUCCUCAGUGGCGACCCAACACGUGGAUCCUUCACCUUUUUCUGUCUACUUACCAGAGCCAGUGUGUGUGAGACUGCGUGCGUGCACACAGGAAUUGUAAAACCCAUAAAUGGAAUCAUGUGGUAUAUAGGUUUCUCCAACUUGCCUUUACCAUUUACAGCGUAGACCAUUUUGUGUUAGUUAAUACAGACCUGCCUCAUUCU